AUCGCUUCUCGGCCUUUUGGCUAAGAUCAAGUGUAAUAUGCCAGAAAACCAUAGGUAUAUUGGGUUAUCAAUACAUUUUGAAGAAUUAUAUUUAUAUACUUUGUCCAGUAAUGUAUCAUGGUUCCAAAGAGACCAUCAGGCUUUUCAAGUCAUUACCUCACUUUUUAAAAAGUCCUUAAAUA